GAUCUCUCUACAUGCUAUAUCAUGCACUGUUAUUCUGAAAUGAGCAAUGCCAAAGGCAUGCUCUAAAUUCUUUGGUUGUUUGUUGUUGUGUGCCUUCAAGCCAUUUCUGACUGACCCUAAGGUGGCCCUAUCAUAGAGUUUUCUUGGCAGAAUUUGUACAGAGGGAGAUUUCCCUUGCCUUUGAGGCUGAGAGAGUGUGACUUGCCCAAGGUCACCCAAUAGGUUUCAAUGGCUGAGUGUCCUAGUCCAACAUUCAAACCACUAUGCUAUGCUUAUUUUUAGGGGACCUACCGUAAAUAUCCUAAGAGAGCCAGCAUGGCAUAGUGGUUUGAAUAUUGCACUACGACCCUGGAAACCAGGGUUUGAUUCCUUUAGCCAUAAAACCCACCAGGCGACCUUGGUUAAUUCACAUCCCAGAAACAGGUUUAAAACUAGACCAUGGAAACAGUUGGGUUUUUGUUUGCUUGUUUGGUUGGUUUUUUGGUCUACAGCUAAUAAUACAGCAGUAAUUCCCAAUCUAAUCCUCAGCCAUUUUAGCCAAUGGUCUGGGAUUCUGGGAGCUGAAAUCCAAAACAGCUGGAGGACCAUACUUUGGGAAUCACUGUAAUAGAGUAUUGCUGGUGGGGGAUUUUGGGAGUUGGAGUACAUAUAGGGAACACUGCCAUGCUCUUGUUAAAACUGCACUCCGGAAGUGAUAAAUAGCAUUGAGAUCUUGACUAUUUAACAAAAAGUCAGAACAGUACUAUGUGUGUUUGCGCAUGCGCACGCAUAUGUGUGUGUGCAUACAUGUGUGCCUUCUUUUCGCCUGUUGAUUUAUGGCAAUCCCAUUAAUUUUACAUUAAUUUUUCUUAGGCAAGGAGUACUCAGAGGUGGCUUUGUCAGUUCCUUCCUCUGAAAUAUAGCCCACAGCACCUGGUAUUCAUUGGUGGUGUCCCAUCCAAGUACUAACAGGGGUGAUUCUACUUAGCUUCCAAGAUCAGAUGGGAUUUGGUGCCCCAAUGGUAUUUAGGCUACUAAAUUAUAAUUAAUUAGAAAAAUCCUUUCUGUCAACAAAGGAUUGACUGGGAUAAUAAAUUCUUCUCACAUUACACAUGUUAAUUGGUUUGGAGUCUAGAAGCCAAAACCCAAUUGCUAGUCCCAGCUGAAAUAAACUUAUGGAAUCAAUGAGAAUUUACUAUGUUUACACUGGUCUAAAGUAUGUUGAUUUGGCGAGUCUAAUCUAGUUAGAGGCUUGCAGUUGAAUUUAGGUCACUUUUUUUUUAUAAUCAACAACAAUUUGGUGGAUGCCCAAUGUUAAUAAUAUUAUUGUCACUGCCAGGGGUGUAGUUUCUCAACUAUUUCAUCCUGAUGUGUAAGGAUGAAUAAUUUUCACUCUGGGGUCAGUAAAAAUGAAUAUUCCACCACAAUAUUCUCCUCAUAUUUGACUAUCCAAACUGUUGCACAGGAAUUAUUAUUCCAGGAGGGGGGUAUGUACAAAAAAAGUCCUCAUGUUCUAUGCAGAAAAGUGGGUUUCUUACACAGGAAACAGUGUUUUUCUGUGUAGAAAACCCCUUUUCUGUGCAUGUUUUUGUACAAAAAAACCCCCACAUGUUUUUCUCAGCAGACUAAUUCCUGUGCACCACUUGGGGGCAUUGAAUACUAGGAGAAAACUGUGCAACGUUCUUUCCUAUUCUAUUCUUCCUGUUUUUCAACUUGGAAAUGGAAUGGAUAAUCUUGAAUAUUUUUUCCAUCCCUACUGUCAGCCCCUUUUACAUGUAAUUUCUUUGACCUCACUGUCUAUAAGCUCAGCCCCAACCUUUGCACUUUAUAUAUGCCUGUAAUUCUGGAUAACAUUUUUUUUCCUGUCCAGAAGAUCCAUGAAACCUCAGUACAAUAAAUCUGUAAAACUCAAGGGCUUCACAUGACUCUGUGGUUUCUAAUUUAUGUAUCACUUUCCUCUAACAGAUAUGCUCAAAACAGCUCACUGGGGACCAAACACAUAUGUGCACACAUGUGUAUGCACAAACACAUGCUCUUCACUCUCCUUAAAACAUGUAGGAUCACCCAUUGUCAUUAUGAUGGCACCUCAGCUAGCAUGGGGGUCCUGAAACCAAACCCCAGCAGAUACCAAGGGCUCACUGCAUCAUCAUCAUCAUCAUCAUCAUCAUCAUCAUCAUCAUCAUCCCCGACAUUUUGUUGGCUGACAUCACUUGCUUCUACUGAGAAGAAACCAAAAAAGCCCCAAACUGAAACUCCCAGAGAUCAAAGGGCUGGCUGGAACCCAAGGCGCUGUGAAGAGCUGGCCUGCGGCAAGCUACGUUUGGCAUGGCUCAGCCCCUAUGGAGCCACCCACCACCACAAGCUUGACUUUGGAGGAGGCCUUUGAAACCCCAGCCAAGGAUGGGGAGGGGAAGGGCAAAUCACAGUGGCAUCUCUGGACACACAGCACCCCACUUACUAAAUGCCUGGUGGCAGCAGUGCCUGUCAUGCCUCAUCAACUUCUUACGUCCAUAAUUUAUAUUCUCAUCUAAUGGGUCACAAGUACUUUGGACCAAUCUCCUGAGGGUUGACCCUGCUGUUAAGCAGAGUGAGGCAACUGCAUCUGGCAGUGGAUUGUUGGGGGAACCAGCAUUGGCAGCCUCCUGGAUAUUCCUCCUGAACUCCCCAUCUCUUCCUCUGUUUUGGAGUACAGAGCUGUGUGUGCCACACAAUCUGCUUGAAGCUCCUGAAAUAAGUUACUGUCUUAGGUGCAGACCUGAGAUUUCCAUAGCUUCCAACUGUUCUGAUUUGGAAGAGACAGUCCUAAAUGAUCCUCUGCCCCCCCCCCCCCCUUUUCAGCUGCUUUUAAAAUGUCCAUCUGUCUCUCUCCUCCUCCCACUUUCCCCCUUUGUCAUCAUCUCACUUCAGUUGUGGCAAAUUGAGUUUAAUGUUCAAAAGUAGUUUGACUCAAUAGACUCAACAGGAGGGAGGGGAAAGAAGGGGAUUGGAUCUUGUUCUUCCCAACAGGCUCAGGCAAAAGUAAACUGUUGCAGCCUCUCCUAAUUUGAGUGCUGUUCCUCAUUCAUAAAUUUUGACAUUGUAAACAUACUGAUGCUCCUUGGUCACACGUUUAAUGGAUUUCAUCCAUAAAAUGCUGGAGGGAAUGGAUUUAGGGGCCAAAACUUUAGGCCUGCUAAUGUCAUCUGUUGGUGUCAUGGGAGUGGGCCAUGGUGAUAUCCUCAAGCAGGAUACAUUAAGCAUCAACCACAGAUCCUCACGGCAUAUCAUUCAAACAAUAACCAAGAGAAAACAUUCAUCUGUUUGAAAAUUAAAAUUUGCAAGUUCUGUGUUGAACAUGGAAGAACCCUCACUUUCCCCUGCUUUGUUGUUAACAGAUGGGGAUUGUAGCUCAGCCAAAAACAGUGAGGGAGAUAAAAAAUUUCAAGACCAUGUUCUCACGCUGAGAUUCCUCCUCCUUGCCCUGGGGGACCAGGAAAUUGUGAAGAAAACCUGGAAAAUAUAUUUUUUUUCCAAACUCUGGGUGAUCGGCAUUGAAAAGAGCAUAAAAUAACAGGGAUUAUGAAUUGCAGAUCAGGAAAGUGAUGAGAUACAAGUAAUGUAACCACUUGUCACUAGUUUUGUUCUACCUUUUUUCUCUUUUCUUUUCUUUUCUUUUCAUUUCAUUUUUUUUUUUGGCAAGGGCACAUUUGAAAAUCAAUGUAAUGAAUAAGAAUAGAGCUACUUAAUUGGUGCAAUGAAUAACAUUUCCUAGUUAUUUGCAAAUGUUAUAUUUAAAGCCCAUUCUUACAGAUCCUUAACAGGAAGUUACUGUGUUUUUAUACCAUGGAAAAAUAAUGAGUAGUGCAAAAAGGAACACAACAAUCUACUUUUUCAACACCGAAAUGUACAACAGUGACUUACUGUUCAAACACAUAAGGAGAACUGGGGACAAACUAUUUUUUAAAAGGAAAUUUCCAAUUUCUGAUAAGCUGGCAGAUGCAUUGGAAGCAGGAAAUGUGUGACCUGGCAAAUGUUUUUGGAGGUCUGGCAUGCAGAGAAGAGGCCAUGGCCAGCUAGUGACUGUGUGGGCAGAUGUGGUAGAAAGGGAGGAUUUUGGCAGACAAGAUGCAGAAGAGUGGUGCACUGAGGCUGGGUGACAACGGUAUUUUUGGAAGCUAGUCACUGUUUCUAUCAUUGCAGCAGGGAUGUAAAAAUUUCUCUGUCUCAACAAUUUGGCAUUUUCCUGAAUCUUGCUUUUAUUACUCCCCCCCCAUUCCCCCCUGCUUCUUGUUUCAUAUUAGGCUGAGAUUUCAUUUUUAUUCUUACAUCGAAAUUAAUGCCUACUUUGGUUUGUUUUUUUCCCAUUGACCAUAAAGCACAAUUGUGUGCAUUAAAAAUAAUGAACAGUACAAGUUGAGCAAAUUUAUUUGGACAAGGUUCAGAAAGGAAAAGUGUAUGGUGUAGUUUUUUAUUCUGCUUCUUCAUUUGUUUGUGUGUGGAGGGUGGGCCACAAAUCUCUUUGAGAAUCUGAUGAAAGCUAUAAGAAAAUACAGUUUUCAAUCUAAAAGGUAGUGAAUCUAAGGGAAAAAAUAAGUCUACUAGAAAGCUGGAGAAAUGCUAGAGAAAAGACAAAUUUUUUUUACCUUAUCUCAAAAUUUGAAAGAAAACUUUUGGAAAAUGGAGAACCGGUGGUACCUCACCCCGAACAGACUGGCCUUGAUCGAUAAAAAGAAAUCAAAUUCUUGUUGGAAAUGCCAAGAAGCAAGAGGCACCUGGUUCCACGUGUGGUGGCGA